rnacentral:rRNA from 1 species
UACGUAGGUGGCAAGCGUUAUCCGGAUUUAUUGGGUUUAAAGGGUGCGUAGGCGGUCCGUUAAGUCAGCGGUAAAAUUGCGGGGCUCAACCCCGUCGAGCCGUUGAAACUGUCAGACUUGAGUUGGCGAGAAGUACGCGGAAUGCGCGGUGUAGCGGUGAAAUGCAUAGAUAUCGCGCAGAACUCCGAUUGCGAAGGCAGCGUACCGGCGCCACACUGACGCUGAGGCACGAAAGCGUGGGGAUCGAACAGG